AACCAUGCAAGUCGAACGGGAUCCAUCAGGCUUUGCUUGUGGUGAGAGUGGCGAACGGGUGAGUAAUGCGUGACCGACCUGCCCCAUACACCGGAAUAGCUCCUGGAAACGGGUGGUAAUGCCGGAUGCUCCAGUUGAUCGCAUGGUCUUCUGGGAAAGCUUUCGCGGUAUGGGAUGGGGUCGCGUCCUAUCAGCUUGACGGCGGGGUAACGGCCCACCGUGGCUUCGACGGGUAGCCGGCCUGAGAGGGCGACCGGCCACAUUGGGACUGAGAUACGGCCCAGACUCCUACGGGAGGCAGCAGUGGGGAAUAUUGCACAAUGGGCGCAAGCCUGAUGCAGCGACGCCGCGUGAGGGAUGGAGGCCUUCGGGUUGUAAACCUCUUUUAUCGGGGAGCAAGCGAGAGUGAGUUUACCCGUUGAAUAAGCACCGGCUAACUACGUGCCAGCAGCCGCGGUAAUACGUAGGGUGCAAGCGUUAUCCGGAAUUAUUGGGCGUAAAGGGCUCGUAGGCGGUUCGUCGCGUCCGGUGUGAAAGUCCAUCGCUUAACGGUGGAUCCGCGCCGGGUACGGGCGGGCUUGAGUGCGGUAGGGGAGACUGGAAUUCCCGGUGUAACGGUGGAAUGUGUAGAUAUCGGGAAGAACACCAAUGGCGAAGGCAGGUCUCUGGGCCGUUACUGACGCUGAGGAGCGAAAGCGUGGGGAGCGAACAGGAUUAGAUACCCUGGUAGUCCACGCCGUAAACGGUGGAUGCUGGAUGUGGGGCCCGUUCCACGGGUUCCGUGUCGGAGCUAACGCGUUAAGCAUCCCGCCUGGGGAGUACGGCCGCAAGGCUAAAACUCAAAGAAAUUGACGGGGGCCCGCACAAGCGGCGGAGCAUGCGGAUUAAUUCGAUGCAACGCGAAGAACCUUACCUGGGCUUGACAUGUUCCCGACGGUCGUAGAGAUACGGCUUCCCUUCGGGGCGGGUUCACAGGUGGUGCAUGGUCGUCGUCAGCUCGUGUCGUGAGAUGUUGGGUUAAGUCCCGCAACGAGCGCAACCCUCGCCCCGUGUUGCCAGCGGAUUAUGCCGGGAACUCACGGGGGACCGCCGGGGUUAACUCGGAGGAAGGUGGGGAUGACGUCAGAUCAUCAUGCCCCUUACGUCCAGGGCUUCACGCAUGCUA
rnacentral:rRNA from 1 species